GACGAACGCUGGCGGCGUGCUUAACACAUGCAAGUCGAACGGAAAGGCCCUGCUUUUGUGGGGUGCUCGAGUGGCGAACGGGUGAGUAACACGUGAGUAACCUGCCCUUGACUUUGGGAUAACUUCAGGAAACUGGGGCUAAUACCGGAUAGGAGCUCCUGCUGCAUGGUGGGGGUUGGAAAGUUUCGGCGGUUGGGGAUGGACUCGCGGCUUAUCAGCUUGUUGGUGGGGUAGUGGCUUACCAAGGCUUUGACGGGUAGCCGGCCUGAGAGGGUGACCGGCCACAUUGGGACUGAGAGACGGCCCAGACUCCUACGGGGGGCAGCAGUGGGGAAUAUGGCACAAUGGGCGGAAGCCUGAGGCAGAAACGCCGCGUUCGGGAUGACGGUCUUCGGGUUGUAAACCGCUGUCGCCUGUGACGAAGCGUGAGUGACGGUAAUGGGUAAAGAAGCACCGGCUAACUACGUG
rnacentral:rRNA from 1 species